rnacentral:lncRNA from 1 species
ACGGGGUAGACCUCCGAGAUACCCUGGGAGUGCUAGUGGCAGUCACUACAAAGCCAAAGGUUCAAGCCCCGACAAGAACGUAUGCGAUACGUACUCGAGAGGAAUCCUCUGCUCCUGAUGUUAUUACAGGUACUUUUUCUCUUUUUAAUACAAGUUUAUUGCUUUAAUUGACCCGGGGUCGACGCAUUCAUAUAUUUGCAUGAGAUUGAUGUAUAGUAUGAACAUACCCGUUGA